GACGAACGCUGGCGGCGUGCUUAACACAUGCAAGUCGAACGAGGUCCACCGCGUAGCAAUACAAGGGAAGACCUAGUGGCGAACGGGUGCGUAACACGUGAGGAACUUGUCCCGGUCUCUGGGAUAACAGUUGGAAACGACUGCUAAUACCGGAUGACGUCGGAGCAUCGCAUGGUGCGCUGACGAAAGGGUUACUGGAUCGGGAGAGCCUCGCGGCCUAUCAGCUUGUUGGUGGGGUAACGGCCUACCAAGGCAUCGACGGGUAGCUGGUCUGAGAGGAUGAUCAGCCACACUGGGACUGAGACACGGCCCAGACUCCUACGGGAGGCAGCAGUGGGGAAUCUUGCGCAAUGGGCGAAAGGCCUGACGCAGCAACGCCGCGUGCGGGAAGAAGGCCCUCGGGUUGUAAACCGCUUUCAGCAGGACGAAAAUGACGGUACUUGCAGAAGAAGGUGCGGCCAACUAACGUGCCAGCAGCCGCGGUAAUCUG
rnacentral:rRNA from 1 species